rnacentral:rRNA from 1 species
UAUGGAGGGGGCUAGCGCUGUUCGGAAUUACUGGGCGUAAAGCGCGCGAAGGCGGGCUGUUAAGUCGGGGGUGAAAUCCCGGGGCUCAACCCCGGAACUGCCUUCGAUACUGGCAGCCUAGAGGAAGGCAGAGGCUAGUGGAAUGGCGAGUGUAGAGGUGAAAUUCGUAGAUAUUCGCCGGAACACCAGUGGCGUAGGCGACUGGCUGGGCCUUUUCUGACGCUGAGGUGCGAAAGCGUGGGGAGCAAACAGG